rnacentral:tRNA from 1 species
AGGUUCCCGACAGGAUUCGAACCUGCAAUCUUCUGAUCAUAAGUCAGACACCUUAUCCACUAACCUCUGCUC